rnacentral:rRNA from 1 species
UACGUAGGUGGCAAGCGUUGUCCGGAAUUAUUGGGCGUAAAGAGCUCGUAGGCGGUCUGUUGCGUCCGCUGUGAAAACUCGGGGCUUAACCCCGAGCCUGCAGUGGAUACGGGCAGACUAGAGGUAGGUAGGGGAGAAUGGAAUUCCCGGUGUAGCGGUGAAAUGCGCAGAUAUCGGGAGGAACACCGGUGGCGAAGGCGGUUCUCUGGGCCUUACCUGACGCUGAGGAGCGAAAGCGUGGGGAGCGAACAGG